CAGUCGCCGCGGUAAUACGGAGGGUGCAAGCGUUAAUCGGAAUUACUGGGCGUAAAGCGCACGCAGGCGGUCUGUCAAGUCAGAUGUGAAAUCCCCGGGCUUAACCUGGGAACUGCAUUUGAAACUGGCAGGCUAGAGUCUUGUAGAGGGGGGUAGAAUUCCAGGUGUAGCGGUGAAAUGCGUAGAGAUCUGGAGGAAUACCGGUGGCGAAGGCGGCCCCCUGGACAAAGACUGACGCUCAGGUGCGAAAGCGUGGGGAGCAAACAGGAUUAGAGACCCCUGUAGUCCCUGUCUCUUAUAC
rnacentral:rRNA from 1 species